UACGGGGGGAGCAAGCGUUGUUCGGAGUUACUGGGCGUAAAGGGUGUGUAGGCGGUUCUUUAAGUUUGGUGUGAAAUCUCCCGGCUCAACUGGGAGGGUGCGCCGAAUACUGAGGGACUAGAGUACGGGAGAGGAAAGUGGAAUUCCUGGUGUAGCGGUGAAAUGCGUAGAUAUCAGGAGGAACACCGGUGGUGUAGACGGCUUUCUGGACCGUAACUGACGCUGAGACACGAAAGCGUGGGUAGCAAACAGG
rnacentral:rRNA from 1 species